AAGUCGUAACAAGGUUUCCGUAGGUGAACCUGCGGAAGGAUCAUUAUCGAAAUAAACCUCAGCAGGCUGUUGCUGGUCCUCAGGACAAGUGCACGCUUGUUGUCUUUUAUCUUUUUUCCCAACUGUGCACAUGUUGUAGACCUGUUAAUAAAUUACCAUUUGGAUAGAUUGAGGACUGCCAAUGUAUAUGGCUUUGCCUUGGUAUUUGCAGGUCUAUGUUGUUGAUACAUUUUCACAACUUUGUCGUAGAAUGGUUUGAGUACUGGGGAAAUAUACAACUUUCAGCAACGGAUCUCUUGGCUCUCGCAUCGAUGAAGAACGCAGCGAAAUGCGAUAAGUAAUGUGAAUUGCAGAAUUCAGUGAAUCAUCGAAUCUUUGAACGCAUCUUGCGCUCCUUGGUAUUCCGAGGAGCAUGCCUGUUUGAGUGUCAUUAAUAGUUCUCAACCACUCGGGUGGCUUGGAUUUUGGAGGUUGUUUGCUGGCCUUUGAAUGAAGGUCAGCUCCUCUGAAAAGGAUUGGUGGUGUCUUUGCAGAGAUCAUCUUGGGUGUGAUAAAUUAUCUAUGCCUUUGAUGUGUGCAGAAGACUUG
rnacentral:rRNA from 1 species